AAGGUGUUCUGGGUGGUUGUUAGGCCAUUGCUAUGUGGUUGGUAAUGUGUUCUGGGUGGUUGUUAGGCCAUUGCUAUGUGGUUGGUAACGUGUUCUUGGUGGUUGUGAGGCCAUUGCUAAGUGGUUGGUAAGGUGUUCUGGGUGGUUGUUAGGCCAUUGCUAAGUGGUUGGUAAGGUGUUCUGGGUGGUUGUGAGGCCAUUGCUAAGUGGUUGGUAACGUGUUCUGGGUGGUUGUUAGGCCAUUGCUAUGUGGUUGGUAAUGUGUUCUGGGUGGUUGUUAGGCCAUUGCUAUGUGGUUGGUAACGUGUUCUUGGUGGUUGUGAGGCCAUUGCUAAGUGGUUGGUAAGGUGUUCUGGGUGGUUGUUAGGCCAUUGCUAAGUGGUUGGUAAGGUGUUCUGGGUGGUUGUUAGGCCAUUGCUAUGUGGUUGGUAAUGUGUUCUGGGUGGUUGUUAGGCCAUUGCUAUGUGGUUGGUAACGUGUUCUUGGUGGUUGUGAGGCCAUUGCUAAGUGGUUGGUAAG